rnacentral:rRNA from 1 species
AAAUUUUGAAUAACACCCCAUACGAUCAUUUUUACACCUGUAAAGAUGAAGAAAACUCCGGUGGUAAAAGAUGGGCAUGCGUCCUAUUAGUUAGUUGGUGAGGUAACGGCUCACCAAGACCGCGAUAGGUAGGGGUCCUGAGAGGGAGAUCCCCCACACUGGUACUGAGACACGGACCAGACUCCUACGGGAGGCAGCAGUGAGGGAUAUUGGACAAUGGAGGCAACUCUGAUCCAGCCGUGCCGCGUGCAGGAAGACUGCCCUAUGGGCUGUAAACUGCUUUUAUACAGGAAGAAACCUUGGUACGUGUACCAAGCUGACGGUACUGUAAGAAUAAGGAUCGGCUAACUCCGUGCCAGCAGCCGCGGUAAUACGGAGGAUCCAAGCGUUAUCCGGAAUCAUUGGGUUUAAAGGGUCCGCAGGCGGUCUUUUAAGUCAGAGGUGAAAUCCUAUCGCUCAACGAUAGAACUGCCUUUGAUACUGAAAGACUUGAGUUAUUGUGAAGUGGUUAGAAUAUGUAGUGUAGCGGUGAAAUGCAUAGAUAUUACAUAGAAUACCGAUUGCGAAGGCAGAUCACUAACAAUACACUGACGCUGA